CAAUAGCGUAUAUUAAAGUUGUUGCGGUUAAAAAGCUCGUAGUUGGAUUUCGGCGGACAGGGGGCGGUUCGAUAUUUGUCGCUACUGCCCCAUUUGUCCGUGUUUUUGGCGGAGGUUUCAGGGUGCUCUUCACCGAGUGUCCUGGGAUGCCGUCAGGUUUACUUUGAAAAAAUUAGAGUGCUCAAAGCAGGCUUUACACGCUUGAAUAUUCGUGCAUGGAAUAAUGGAAUAGGACGUCGUUUCUAUUUUGUUGGUUUUCGGAAAUCGACGUAAUGAUUAACAGGGACAGUCGGGGGCAUUAGUAUUCAGACGACAGAGGUGAAAUUCUUAGAUUGCCGAAAGACAAACUGCUGCGAAAGCGUCUGCCAAGGAUGUUUUCAUUGA
rnacentral:rRNA from 1 species